GGGGGCGAAACGGCUUCGACGGGGAUAGUUGAAGUCAAGGUUGCAUGCCGAGGUACCAGCUGCUCGUAAAAACGGUUGGGAUAAACACAAACGCAGACGAUUAUUCGUAUGCCCUAGCCGCGUAAGCGGCUAGCGUCCCGUGGGUUUAUGCCCGCGAAACCCGACCGGGGCGUCGACUCAGUGGGCUAGCCGAUCCGGGUUCCUGCAAACCGGUUAGGUGAAAACUUUUGCAGGUGUGUUUUCGAGGAGUCUUGCUCGAUUACGAAUCGAAAGCGAAAAAUUUUAGAUCGAGAUAUGCAUGUAGACGCCUUGACGGAAUGUUUCCGGACGGGGGUUCGACUCCCCCCGCCUCCACCA
rnacentral:tmRNA from 1 species